CAGCAGCCACGGUAAUACCGAGGGUGCGAGCGUUAAUCGGAUUUACUGGGCGUAAAGGGCGCGUAGGCGGUUUAGUGAGUGUGAUGUGAAAGCCCCGGGCUUAACCUGGGAAGUGCAUCGCAAACGACUAAACUGGAGUAUAAGAGAGGGUGGCGGAAUUUCCGGUGUAGCGGUGAAAUGCGUAGAGAUCGGAAGGAACGUCAAUGGCGAAGGCAGCCACCUGGCUUAAUACUGACGCUGAGGCGCGAAAGCGUGGGGAUCAAACAGGAUUAGAUACCCCCGUAGUCCCUGUCUCUUAUAC
rnacentral:rRNA from 1 species